rnacentral:tRNA from 1 species
CAGGGAGACAACAAAAUGUUUAAUAUUAUUAUUUUGUCACCUUAGGUCGAUCGGUAUCUCACGUUCUUAAUUUAUUAAGAAUUUCAUUUUCUAAGUUUUUCUAGGUCACACCCAUUAUUUUUCCUGGGCCAUUAGCUCAGGUGGUUAGAGCGCACCCCUGAUAAGGGUGAGGUCCCUGGUUCAAGUCCAGGAUGGCCCAUAUCUCUAUGUUGGGGGUAUAGCUCAGUUGGUAGAGCGCCUGCUUUGCAAGCAGGAUGUCAGCGGUUCGAGUCCGCUUACCUCCACUGAUUACCACCUCUUUCAUAACUGGUAGUAAAGGAAAUGUUUUGAGUUGUGAUCAAAUUCUGAAAGAAUCUAGCUUCCUAAUGAAAUCAUUAAGAUGCUGGACUCAUUGAAUUAAUUUCAUUGUUUUCAGAGAACCUUGACAACUGCAUAGAUUAUUUUAAAGACAAUAAGCAUCUUUAAUGAUGCAGAUUUAUUAUUUGUGCGAAUGCAUUAAUAACAAUUCUAUUAAGCUGAUGCUUCAAUUUUUGAAGUUAUU